CAGCACCCCACUGAGGAACUGGGACUUUUCUUGGAGAUUGUUGUUUCUCAAGGGAAAGUGGGGUGGCACCCCUGCUUCCAGAGGCAUUUGAUGAUGCACAAGGAAAUCCAGAAGUCAUGAAAUAAACGUGACUUAGCUUUCUUGAGUUUGCAGGAGAGCACAUAAAUAAUGGAUAUUUUACGGAACCUGUAAUGCAAAAUCCCCAUACACUUAAAGCUGAAAUAGAUUUCCAUUCUGUUUGACUGUGGCGGGCUACUUCAAGAUGUGUUCUCAGGCCCGGGGACACCAUUCUGCCCACUGUGCCCUGACAGCGUGUCUGUGCAAGUGCAGGCAAAGCCCUGGGAAGUCUUGGGGGGAGAGGGGGUUGGGAAGGCUUUCUCCGAGCGAGAGGAGGUCACGUGGCAUUUCACAAAGCUCACUCCUGCUGCGCCAGUAGGGGGAAUGGUUGGCCGCAGGGGCCUGGGGCCAGAGAGAAGGAGUCCUCAGGUCUGAUUCCCUGGAGAGCAUCUCAGUGCUUUGCAAAAAUUAUCUCUAAGUCCUACCACAACUGAAAAGGGGGAUUCUAUUCGUUUUACAGCUUUACGGAGGAAGAAACUAAAGUUGAGAAGGACAAAGAGACCUUCCCAAGAUAAUGCAGCUAGUAAGUGGCUGUCUCAGAACCACACCAGCCAGACUCCAGAAAUCCCGUUGCCCAGGCCCAAAGUAUCAGUACUGACCAUCUCCUCCUCCCUGUAAAUCUCAAUCAACACUGUCAUGGGGUCAACCUCAGAGAGAAAAGAGUGUCCCCUGCUUCUGCUCAGUGUCCAGGAGUAUCCCGAACAGAAGGUAGGGCCCUCUGACAAUGUCAGCCACCAGACCAGGCUCCAAGAAGUGGCCAAGCUCCAAGAGGAUGGGUGAGAAACACUCUGAAAAGUGCUCAACCAACCGCUGAUGACUCCCCGGAAGGCUUGCCUUCCUGCCUGGGUUGGGCCUUUGGGUCAGGAUCUCACCAGGCACAGUGACCAUUUGGGGACAUUUCCUCUUGUCUCCUGUAUACAGAUCAUCGUGGGAGCAUGCACCCCACCCAUCUCAGGGCUAUGUGUUCUUUGGCUAGCAAAGAAAGGGGAACCCAAACAUCAAAGCUGGCCAUUAACAAAAAUGUUAUGUUGUAGACUUGUA